CAGGCCUAACACAUGCAAGUCGAGCGGAGAUGAGGUGCUUGCACCUUAUCUUAGCGGCGGACGGGUGAGUAAUGCUUAGGAAUCUGCCUAUUAGUGGGGGACAACAUUUCGAAAGGAAUGCUAAUACCGCGUACGCCCUACGGGGGAAAGCAGGGGAUCUUCGGACCUUGCGCUAAUAGAUGAGCCUAAGUCGGAUUAGCCAGUUGGUGGGGUAAAGGCCUACCAAGGCGACGAUCUGUAGCGGGUCUGAGAGGAUGAUCCGCCACACUGGGACUGAGACACGGCCCAGACUCCUACGGGAGGCAGCAGUGGGGAAUAUUGGACAAUGGGGGUGAACCCUGAUCCAGCCAUGCCGCGUGUGUGAAGAAGGCCUUUUGGUUGU
rnacentral:rRNA from 1 species